AUUCUAUUCACCCUUUAGUAAGAGAAAGAAAGGAGAAAGAAGAAGAAGAAGAAGAGAGGAGAAGAAGAGAAGGGAAGAGAGAGAAAUUGCUGUAGAGAUCGAUUUGCUUGGGAGAUUACCAGAGGAUUCAGCAAAAAGGAAUCCCAAAUAGCCAUGAGAGAGAUUCCUCUGCACCAGGAGAGAUUGUGGGCCCUGAUAUUCAUGAUGAGGAGAGCAGUUAGCUGUAGGUUAAUAAUUUAGAGCAUGAUGACGUGGUUAUGGAUCAGUUGGCUUGUAUUAUGGAUUUUAAUGAUUUCAGCCAUGGCCAUGACUGCGAAUGAGACGAUUGUGCAUAUGGUGGACAACAAUAUUGAGGACUGAUGUAGUUGAUUAUCCUUUUGGCGUAUAUAUGUGGACAGUGGUGGAAAUCAGUUUUUGUUGAUAUAGGUUGGAGGGUAAAACUACUAUUGGAAGAUAUUUUGUGUAAAUAUUUGUUUUAGAAUGGGAUGAAUGUAUAUAUAUAUAUAUGGAAUACUAUAUAUGUUGUUGUGAAUCAUUGUAUAAAUGGUAUCAAGUAUCACAUAGAAGCACUGGGUGGAUAUUAUCUUUAUUUGAUUUUAUAUGAUCCAUUGCGAACUCUGAUUAUGAUUUUAGCAUAUAUGGUUGUAGUGUUGUGGACUCUCCUAGAGUAGGAUCCUGGUUUGGUGGGCUGAUUGGGUGUGGUGAGGUAUCCAGUUCCAGCGCAUCUGUGCCAUAUAAAGGGCAAG